UACGUAGGGGGCAAGCGUUAUCCGGAUUUACUGGGUGUAAAGGGAGCGUAGACGGAAUGGUAAGUUUGAAGUGAAAUACCUGGGCUCAACCCAGGAACUGCUUUGAAAACUACCAAUCUAGAGUACUGGAGAGGUAAGGGGAAUUCCUAGUGUAGUGGUAAAAUGCGUAGAUAUUAGGAGGAACACCGGAGGCGAAGGCGCCUUACUGGACAGAUACUGACGUUGAGGCUCGAAAGCGUGGGGAG
rnacentral:rRNA from 1 species